rnacentral:lncRNA from 1 species
UGAAAGACAACAAUUUAGCGAACCAUUUUAGUGUAACGUUUUUGUCAUAAUUUGCUCUGAAUGACAUUUUUUAGUUGACUCAUGCAAAACAUAGAUAAAUGGCUAUAAUUAAUUAUGCUCCUAUUUAUUUGCUUUUGUUGGUUCUUAAUCUACCAGCAAUCUUUAUUAGCUCAUCACUGAACUAGCUAUUAAAGAGAAUAUAUUAUUAAACCAGCAUCACUUCUGUAUGAAGGCUCAUGCAUUCUCACAUUAUAAUUGUUUGAAUUUUUAAUUUAUAAGCAGGGUUUGAUAACAUUACAUUGCCACAAGGUCGCUUAUAACUUUCUUGUAAAUAGUGUAGAAUUAUUAUCAUUGUGACACUGUGAUUAAUUUUGCUUAUAACAUUGAAAAACAUUUUUAAGAUAUCUUAAUGUUUGCUUGACCUUUAAAGGACACCAAUUUAUCUUUGAGUAAUUAGCCUCCCUUGACAGAGGCAAUCUCAUCAAAGACCGCACUGUUUGAAUCUUGUAGUGACUCUGUUAAGGCUUGUAUGUCUUAAAUUUUAGAAGAAAGGCCUGGGAAAGCGAUAACCCCAAUGUGCCGAGUAUCUGAUGGAAAUAUAUCAUAGUUGUUUGUGAAAUGGCAUCUUCUAACAAUUCAUUGUAGCCAAACCUCAUGAUAUUCUUCAUAUUGUAAUUACUUUUUCUAAAAGGAAAUCUUUUGGUGUUCCUUAUUCCUUUUAGAUUUGGUUGGCACUAUUCUCAUUUCCAAGUUUGGAAGUAGUCAUGGUUCCUCGAGAUGCAUAUAUCUAAUUACCAGGAAAUAUUUUACCUUUACUUCUUCGUUGUUGAUUAUUUUAUUCUAUUUUGAUGAUCAUAUAACAAACACUAACCUCCCUCUACCUAUCCUCUUUGAAAUAUCUAAUGCACUUGCUUUUAUGGUACUGUAGCUCUGAAGCUCUUUCAUAAUAACAUUGUUGAUGGUCAUUGCUCGUCCAUGUUUUGCCAGGACUAAAUUUUAGUUGUAUCAACAUUAUUCUCUAUUCUAGCUAGAAUAGGAUUUGAACUGUUCAUGGAAUAGGAACAAUGUAAUAGGAGCAGGGUCUUGUGACAAAUAUGUUUUGAGUGGUUGAGUGGCCCAAUUUGUGCCAAGUGGGAUACAAUCAAAACUUUGGAGGGAGAAAGUUGUUAGAUGUCAAGUGUUGUUGGUGGGUGUGUGAUAAUAUGGUCGAUGUCCGUAGUUGUUUUGGUCUAGUAAUGGAGGGAAAUCAAAAUAGUGGUCAGUUGUGUUUGAAAUUGAGUAGGAGUCGAGUAUACGAUCAACUCUGGGUUCUAUUACUAGAAUCAGGAUCUUAAUGCUAUGCAUUGGUGAAUGAUUUUGUGUUCUACUCAAUGUUGCAGGGACCUGGACAUGAGAAUCCAAUUUAUUUGCAUAUUCUGCAAAUAGUAAUAAUAAGAUAUGGAGACAUAUAGAAAAAUGGUUUUUUAUAAAAUAUACUUAAAUUUUCAUAAUUUAUUAAAUGAAAACAUUGAACAAGACAUUAUAAAAUGAUAAAUAUUCGGAUAAAAUAUUGAUAGUGUAAUGCACCUGUUGUAACUUUUAUUUUAAAUUUCUGCUACAAAACUUGUUUGUAUAAGCAGGUUGCGGGCAGAUAAAACCGGACAUGGGGACUCGGGUCUGGGUGCAUUUAUGUUUCAUUAGUUAGUUACAUAAACAAGCAGCAUAAAAAUAAUAAAUAGAUGAUGCGUUGCAUUUUUCUUUUUGCUCCUUUUGUAGCUGGCAUAAGCUGUCUACUUUUCUUUUUAAAUGCUUGUAUAGCCACUUACCAUUUAGCACUAGAGGCCACAUGAUAAGGGUCGCAAUUGCCUAUUAUAAUAAAUUUCAGAAGGUGUCUAGAUAGGAUGUUAACUGGCUAUAGCUUUCAGCUAAGGAUGAAGCUGGUAUUUUGGUUCCAGAAAAUCCCCAACCUCCCAUGAUUGGUGGAUCUAAACCCAAUUUAUAUCAAGAAUGCGUAGAUGCACUUUUUACCCUGCCAUCAACCCAUCAGUACACAUUUUCCUGUUAUUGGGGUUAGGCAAAACAAUGAACAAUGGAAGAGAGAGCGCUGAGCAGCAGAUGAGAAAGCAAAGGGAUUUUGGAUGGUAGACUAGUAGUAUUUCUAGACUAGAUUUCUUGUAUCUUCUUCUCUCUAUUUCCCCUCCAUUCCUUUCCUUUUCCAUGCCUAGACUCCUCUUUUUUGAGCUUGGAUUUGCAAAGAGUGGUGUUAGAUUCACCUUUAGCAGAGUGUAACAGUUCACCGACUCAAAAAUCCUGAUAGGCAUCGUAUUUGGUGCGUAUCCCAUGUGUCUGAUAUGUAUCGAUACUCGAAUAAAUAUUGACACGGCACUUUGGGGUUGGAUACACAUAUCCAAGUAUAAUUGGUUCUAAAAGGAGUAAAAUAUUAGUUUUGAGGUGCUGUAAUUUGAUUUUGGCCUUAACCGAUCAUGGUAGAGCAGGCUGGUUGCAUUUUAGAGAGAGUGUAAUGACCCUGGGUCUAAUGUUGGAGUUACAAUUCUUUGAAGUGAUUAUAGCCUUAGGGUCUUUGUGCAUCUUGUAAGUUUUUUAACUAAUAAAACUCAUAUUGUUUCUCUCUCCAAUUUUAUUCUUUUGCAUACAUAUUCCAUAUACAUUGGUGCUUGUUCAUAUUGAUCCUGCAUAUUGGAUGAUCCUCCUAUGUAGUGAUCGUUGUUGUUCGACAAACAUUUCCAUUAACCAAGCAUUCUUUUUUUUUUUUUUGCAUCUUACCUCAUGGCUUUUAUUAGACAAGUAUCUAUUGCUUGAGUCUAGUGCGCACAUGAAGAAUUUGACCUUUCUUGUAACUUCAUUCUCAAUAUUACUUGUUUACUCUAGACGUGUGGUUGGGUUAUCCUGAUUCCAAAAUUCCACCAUCUUGCUUCAAAAGCUCCAAGCUGCUUUUUAUGGAGGGCAUCUUCAGUAAAACAGGAGCGUCUUUGCAUUCAGACUUCCCACUUUCUUAUUUCUACCUUCCCCAAAUAAGUAACUUUGCAUUUGUGACUGAUUCAUGUUUAUAUCUCAGUUUUAAACUAGUUAUAUCUGCAAUCCUUCCAUUUUGUUUGAGCAACACCACCUUUUUUAAAUGCCCCCAUAUCCUAGUUCUUUGGACUCUUGUACACUACCCUAUACUUUUGUUUGUUGUCAAUGGCUUAUCCCUAAGCCCAAACUGCAUGUGUAAUCAUGCCAUUGUACAAGCUGUUCUGACAACUAGUGUUUGAAAUCACGAGGCUGAUGCACAGCCACUGGAAAUGCAUUUUUUUUUUACUUUGGAAUUAUUGCAUCUUGAUGAUUCCCCAGAUGAUUUUUUUUUCAAAUGUUAUUUUUUUAAAAAGCCUUAGAUAUGAAGACUGGAAGGCAACUUUUUUUUUCCUCUUAGCUUACAUAAUCUGAUUUAUGAGGGAUUGAAGACUAAUAUGUUCAUGAGGCGGUGCUUAGAUAUGUUUGAAUUUUAUAAAGUAGUAAAGGUCAAAGACAAUUCAACUUGAGUUUCAAUUGCUUCAAAUCUUUUUGUGACUUGGAUCUUUGGUCAUACAUAUCUCAAUGUCUUCUCAUGUUUCAUCACAUCUACUUAGAACUCUGGUUUCCUAAACUUUUGCCAAAAUCUUAGAACCGUUUGCAAAUGUGCAAACAAUCCACAAAUUAGUUUAAAUUUUUCAAGAUUUUGUGGAACUUUUUGAUUCUGUUGAGAUGAUUUUGUGCUUUUUUUGGCUUAUUCUUUUUGGAAUCUAGAUCAUCCUUUCAAUUUUGUUUCUUACUAUAUUCAAUUUAUGUUAUUUUUCCUUUGCUCUAUUGAUCUCACUAUUAGCUUUAUCACUUGGCCUUAGUCCAACAGUAACAUUUGUAAGAUUGCAUCCACAUUUUCUUUUCUUGAUAAGUCACAUAUCAAUGUGCACAUCUAGUAAAAACGUUAGUCAUAUGCCAUGUUUAAUGGAGUUCUAGUUAGGUCUGAGCUCAUCGAACCAUUUGAUGGUCCGGUACUGCAUACUUUAAGAUGGAUGCUUUAUGAUUUAAUGAAAAAAAGGGUUAUUUAGGCCUCAUCCUAGAAUAAACCAACUUGAAUAAGACAACUGAUGUCCUGCUUUCCUAGCUCCCGCUACUAUCGUGUGUCCCAUCUCCUCCGGCUUGUUUGUUCGGUCUCCAUCAUAGAUUGCCCUUGGCACCCCAUCACACACGCCUACCCCUCUCGGCCACUGUGCACAGCAACUCUGGGGUCCCGAAUAUUGGGUUCGAAGGAGGCGAGGUUGAAUGGAACUACCUCCUAUUGCCGGAGGCAGAGGAGGUAGAUGGCGGAGUUCAGAGUCUCACUGGAGGAGGGUGAGAAGGAGGAAGAGGAGAACGCAGUUGCGUUAGAGAGCAGGGAUGGGGCUCGGCAAAGGGUGAGGGGAGCAGUGGAGUUCGAUGUAAGUGGAGCAAUGGAAUUCAAUGGAGCGGGAGCUGUUGGGUUUGACGAUGGGAGAGCCAUGGGAUUUGAUGCAGGGAGUGGUGAAGUUUGUUAGUGCCAGAGCUGAGGGUAUCACUGAAGUAGUGGUUGGAGGCAAUCAUGUGGUUGGAGGAGACAUCAGAGUGGUGGCUGGUGGUGAUGAAAUAGGUAGGGGAGAUAUUGGUGAAGGAACCGUUGGCCACAACAGAGUUGUUCGGGGAGAUGGUGAUUUGCUAUGGGAGACGAAGGUAAUAGAAGAUCCAAUGGCAAUGAUGAUGGAAGACUAACCAUGUUAUUAUCUAUUAAAUAAUGUAAUGUGCAUCAUUUCUUUUUGGAUCUUUAAAUAUUUAUCAUCAAAGAUAAAGCUUUUCCUAUCAUAGGCGAACUUUAUGUUUAUCAUGAGUCUGUUUGUGCUAUUCGAAUUUUUUAUAUAACUUAGAAUAUCUAUAUUUUUAUACAUUUACAGUUAACUAGUUUUACUGAUAAAAUUCAAAGAAAUGUAUAUGCAAGGUUGUAGAUUCAAAUGCUAUAUGUCAUAGGUCAUUCAACAUUUGUGUCUUCUAUGUCAUUCUACAGUAUUUAUGCGAAGUUAAUAUUCCACUUUGCUGAUUAAAUUCAUAUAGACAGAUUGAAUCUGCUCCCUGGCCCAUCUCCUGGCUUCUGCGUUCUCAAGAUCUCUUAGGAAAUUGUCCUUUUUUUUGUAGUGUUGUGAUUAGGUGAUGUUUACCAAUAUACGUGCUUAAAAUCAUUGUAUCAUUGCUGUCCAUAAGCCAUGGUUCAUCUUUUUCCGUCGCUUUAUAAGGUUCAUUCAGAAAUCUGAAACUGCAUCAAUAUGAAUGCUUUCCUAGUUGUACUGUAAUGUUCUAUCAGAUAAAGCCAAUUCAAGUUGUAGUUGUGCAGGCAAAUUGAAUUGUAGUACAUACUGCAAUUCAUUCUCUUGUUGACCUUAAUAUUUUCUUAUGGAUAAACUUAAUGGUAGAGUAACUACCCAAGCAUUUGGAUGGACAAGUUACUUGAAGCGCUAACAGGUGUUCUAUCAUGUCUUGUGCCUUUUUAUUUUCUGGGUAUGGGACUGAAGGAAAUACAUGGAUGGAGGUGAUGGGCGUGAAAUGGGGUUGAAGCGACCACAAUUUGAUUCGAGUUCCUCAUUUUUUGGGGCUUCUGUUGGAUCAAGUCUCAUGUACAAUCCUUCUUAUGCUUAUGCUGGCCAACCUCCACCAUUCCCCGUUGUCCGAUUGCGCGGCCUUCCUUUUGAUUGUUCGGAAGCAGAUGUUAUUGACUUCUUCUGUGGUCUGGACAUACUCGACAUUCUCUUUGUUCAUAAAGGUGGUCGGUUCAGUGGGGAAGCUUUUUGUGUAUUGGCAUAUCCUCUGCAAGUAGAUUUUGCCAUUCAGAGAAAUAGGCAGAACAUGGGUAGGAGGUAUAUUGAGGUUUAUAGGAGUAAGAGACAGGAAUAUUACAGUGCCGUUGCACAUGAAGUUUCUGAUAUGAGGGGUGGUUCUCCACGUCGCAGUGCUCCGAGGGCAAGGUCAGCUGAUGGUGGGAAGGAUUUAGUUGAGCAUACUGGAGUUCUACGGAUGAGGGGAUUGCCAUAUUCUGCUGGGAAAGAUGAUGUGAUGGACUUUUUUAAGGACUACGAACUCUCAGAGGACUGUGUUCAUAUUGUGCUGAACUCCGAUGGCAGGCCAACAGGGGAAGCUUUUGUCGAGUUUGCAAAUGCAGAAGAUUCAAAAUCUGCAAUGGGAAGGGAUAGAAUGACACUCGGAAGUCGUUAUAUAGAGUUGUUUCCUUCAACUCCCAAGGAGAUGGACGAUGCUAUUAAACGGUGAGGCUGGUGAACGGUAACAAGGAGAUCAGGUUUACACCCAGUAGUUGGUAGAUUUCUGAAGUUACUCUAUUGUUUAUGCUAUGCUUUUGUAUUGAAAACUUGUUGCAACAUAUCAUAUCAUCUGAUGUAUGACAAUGCUGGUCUGACCAACGCAUGGUUGAUCCAACAUUAGAUUAUCUCAUGGUGUGUUCAAUCUGGUUAAUUGCAAAAAAAGAAGGGGUUAGAUCUAUUAUCCUACAUCUUGUGUUUCUCUUCAUACAUUAUUUUUUCUCUGCUUUCUGUUAUAUAACCUGAUCUGCAGAACUCCGAAUGAGUUUAGUGAUUGAUACGAUCAAAUUGACAAUUUAGUUGUAUUAUUUUUUUUUGUUCAAGAUAAAUGGAAGCAUGUUAAUAGGCUUGAAGCAUAUGGGCUGGGAAAACAGGAUUUCGGUGGGAGUAAAAUUUGGUUUAAUUUUAGGACAUCGGCCGUAACAGGUGUAAUAGAAUGCUUGGUGCUUGUAAAUGGAGAAACUGAGAAAUGCAUGGUAUGCAAAAGAGUGGGUUGAAGAUAUUAAGCAUGUAAGAAGUAAUUCUGUUGAUUGUAUCUUUGCUCCAGGUUUAGAGAAGCUAAUCAAGUAGUUGGGUGUGGUAGAGAAGUUAGUAUUUAUGUUUGGUUUUGGGACUGCAUGGGAGGUCUUCCUCCUUAUCAUCAUCUUCUGUCAAGAAUUGAUGAUGUACAUGUAAUGUUUAAGAGUUUAGCAAGAUGCUUAUUUCAUCGCACAAAAGAGGAGUGGCGGCGAUAUCUCUCCGGUAACAAAAAGAAUCUUCUCUUUCCAAGUAGAUUCAAAUAUAUCUGCUUUCAUCAUGGACUAUGAGCUGCUUUGUUUGUUGAAUCAAGAAUAUUUUUAAACAGUUUAGAAUUGCUAAAGUUGAAGUUCAUUUUUAUGUUGGCUAAGGUGAUCGAUCCACUUGUAUUGUUUGGAAGGGGACAUUUUAUGAGAACAGAGGAAGCUAGAAUGGCAGAUCAUAGAGCAAGAACCCGGAACCGUCGCCGAUGCCCAGGUGAUUAUACUUCAAAUAUAUUAGUUUUUGUUCCUUAUUCCUUCUGUAUAAGCAUGAAUAUGUGCAUUUUUUUAAUCUAAUCUACCUAUGAUUCUGAGUUAUAAUUGGCAAUUCCUUCGAACGAAUUCCUGAAUAAGACUCGAGAAAAAUCAAGAGUAUAAAAAUCUUUGCAUGUUGAGAUCUUUUGGAACCCAUGUUAGCUCGACACCCUACAAAAAUCUCGUCAGUUUCACGUGCUUGCAUUGGGACUAAAGUGGACAGCCUACUUUGUCAUGCUAUCAAUUUAAUGAGUAAAUUUAUCCAGGUCUAAAAGAGUAGGUAAAGCCGUUCUUCUAAAGAUAAACGCCACAUAAAAGAUUGGCCAAGAUUAUGUGAAUUAGUGUUAGCCAAAUAAGGUUUAGUUAAACAUCACCUUCCCCAAAACCCACAGCAUCUGCGUACGCGCUUCGUAAUUGAUGUCCUCCCAGAAAAAGACCAUUCUCCUGUUGAGUCACACGGCCUAUUAACUUCGAUUGCCGAGAGAAGAACCAUGCCUCUGGGCGAUAUUAAAUUGUCCAUAAUCCAUUGUCGUGGCUACGAUGGCUUGGUCUCUAUUCUAAGAUGGUUGCGAGGUUGGUGGGGGAACACCGUCGCUCUUCAAAUGUUCCGACUCAGCACUCAUGAGUCAUCGGAUAAUUCGUUACGACCGCACUGAAGCAAGAAGAAGACUCGAAACCUUGGUCGCAUUGUCGGGCCACUUAGAAUUAUAACAAAUUUCCUCUGAAAUAUUCUUGCAGGUACGAAAGCACAUUUCUAGUGAGGACUUUAUUCUAGCGGAAAACCAGCUGAGUUGUUAUAUGUAUUAGAUGAUCUUUCUACUUUCCAUGUUUGUUUUCUGUCAUGCCAAAUGAUAGAAAAUUCAUUUAUAUUUUUACAUAAGAAAACUUUGUAAUGUAAACUAUAUUUCCUAGAUUUCUUUUGCAGGCGUAUGUUUAGUCCCACAUUGGCUAUUCGCUGAGGAAAGCUUGGAUACUUAUACAGGACUAAAAAAUUCAAAAAAUAAUUUCGGCUAGCCAUUUGGAUGAGGUGUUAGGUUGUUACAAAUAAUAUCAAAGCGAACUCGAUCUAUAACCUAUAUGGAUUAGGAAAUAUUGUAGCACAAGUUCAUGAAGGCCGAUUAGAUUUGAAUGAAUUUAAAUUCUUAGUUUGACGAGAACAUUAGGUAUUAAAUUUGAAUGGAAGGCUGAUUAAAUUUGAAAGGAUUUGAAUUUUCAGCCAGACGAAAACAGUACGCUUGUAUAUAUUAUCGGUAAAUUUUGUUAUAUUUGUCCGUCAAGGCCGCGGCCUAACUGAAUGAAGGGAACACAAAUAAAGGUUCCAAAGCCCCAAGAGUCAAGACAGCCAAAAAGAGAGAGAAGAGCUGACGCAAGGGUUUGGAUUUUUCUCACAAAAAGGGCUGCGAACGUUUCAGUUCAUAUCUAAGAAAAUACAACGGUGGUGGCAUCCGUCCUAAAAUCCUGUACUCCCAGACUGGGAAACAAGCUGUUUUCUUCGAUAAAUCUCAUUGCCGGCAUCAAUAGUCUUUGGGUUCAUCUACUCUGCGAGCGAGCGUCACCUUUUUCUCCCCACGCGUUCUCUCUCGUCUUCAGCCUCAGCCUCAGUCUCAGCCUCUCUUUUUAUCCACCGCCAGUGCCAUCCCAUCUCCCAAGACCCACCUCAAAC